UGAAUACGAGACGCUAAGGCGUCGAAGUAGUGUAUGUCAUACUUCCAAGAAAAGCUUGCACUGUCAUAGAUAAAAAACGCCUGUACCAUAACCGACACAGGUGGGUAGGUAGAGUAUACUAAGGGGCGCGAGAUAACUCUCUCUAAGGAACUCGGCAAAAUAACUCCGUAACUUCGGGAGAAGGAGUGCCUUAUUCGUAAGGUUGCAAUAACAAGAUCCAAGCAACUGUUUAUCAAAAACACAGGUCUCCGCUAAGUCGUAAGACGAUGUAUGGGGGCUGACGCCUGCCCAGUGCCAGAAGGUUAAAGAAGUUGGUUAGCAAUUGCGAAGCUGAUAACUGAAGCCCUGGUGAACGGCGGCCGUAACCAUAACGGUCCUAAGGUAGCGAAAUUCCUUGUCGGGUAAGUUCCGACCCGCACGAAAGGCGUAAUGAUUUGGAUACUGUCUCGGAGAGGGGCUCGGUGAAAUAGACUUGUCUGUGAAGAUGCGGACUACCUGCACCAGGACAGAAAGACCCUAUGAAGCUUUACUGUAACUUGAAAUUGAAAUUGGACUUUAUUCGCGCAGUAUAGGUGGGAGGCGUUGAUUAUAAUCUUGUGGGAUUAUUGGAGCCAUCAGUGAGAUACCACUCUUGUAAUGUUAGAUUUCUAACUUUGAAUCAUUAUCUGGUCAAAGAACAGUUUCAGGCGGGCAGUUUGACUGGGGCGGUCGCCUCCUAAACGGUAACGGAGGCGUACAAAGGUUUCCUCUGAACGGUUAGAAAUCGUAUCUAGAGUGUAAAGGCAUAAGGAAGCUUGACUGUGAGACCUACAAGUCGAGCAGGGACGAAAGUCGGUCUUAGUGAUCUGACGGUACUGAGUGGAAAGGCCGUCACUCAACGGAUAAAAGUUAUUCUAAGGAUAACAGGCUGAUCUCCCCCAAGAGUUCACAUCGACGGGGAGGUUUGGCACCUCGAUGUCGGCUCAUCGCAUCCUGGGGCGGUAGUACGUCCCAAGGGUUGGGCUGUUCGCCCAUGAAAGCGGUACGCGAGCUGGGUUCAGAACGUCGUGAGACAGUUCGGUCCAUAUCCGGUGUAGGCGUUAGAAUAUUGAGAGGAGCCUUCUUUAGUACGAGAGGACCGAGAAGGACAUACCUCUGGUGUACCAGUUAUCGUGCCAACGGUAAACGCUGGGUAGCUAUGUAUGGAGUGGAUGACCGCUGAAAGCAUCUGAGUGGGAAGCCCACCUCAAGAUAAG
rnacentral:rRNA from 1 species